CAAGCCAAGUGCCUUGCUCUCCUGGUCACGGCCUGGAGGCCCCGACUCAACGUAGGGAAUCAAGCCAGAAUUUCCCCAUUCGCCAGAGAGGGAACGGCCUCCCUCCCACUCAGUGCCACCACCAUUUAUCACCACGAGUUUCGGACCCCAAGGUGGCCCGAGCUUCACCGAUCAUCUUUGGGGUGGGGAACCCCCUCCCCGGCCCGACACUUCCUCCUAUGAAGAGGGGCAAAAAACAGGCCUUUCCACGGGUGCCCGACAUCAACCGAGCAAUCCGGUCGCGCGACGGAGACCGACCACCACCGAAGAGGCUUUGGGGGCUUUUGGUGGGGACAAUCGUGGAGAGAAAAGCGUUCAUCCCCGCCUUGGUGCCCCCCCCCAAAGUCUCACGGUGCCAGUGACAUGACCCCAAAGAAGCGAUGGCAAAGGGGGGGGGGUGGUUGGAAACCUGGCUCUGAGGUUGCCCUCACCCAAGGAGCUCCGGCUUCUUCCUAGAAUUUCUAGAAGCACUUUCGGAGGGACUGAGGGCUUCCGGCCCGACGCAGAGGAAUUUGAGCCUCGCCCCGGCGGCAGCCUGGGAGCGGAGAGGCUGCAGAGCCACAUUCCGCCCGAGCCGCCCCUGCUAGGCCCCAGGAAGCGCCGCGGAAAACAAAGCGCUGCGGUUUCAGCCCAAGGUUAAAGUCCACCGCGAGCGUUUUUUUUUUCCCCCCCCGGAAUCUGAGAGCGAUAGCGUUUCUCCAAAUAAACCGCCAAUAAAUCA